UCUCUGUUUUUCACAUACACACAGAAACUGAUUGGUUUCUUUCUGAUAUAAUAUACCCCCCAAAGGUGGGUUUUUUCUUUUUUUUUUAUUCUUUGUAUAUUAUUGUUUAAGGAAUUCGUCCAAACCUAGAUGACAAAAGCAAAGGCUGAAGAAACUGGAUGUCUCAAACCACACGGCAGGUCUAAGUUCUGGUUCCCAAAUCCGAUGAAUCCAUAUGAAAGCAGAAAACGCGACCUUGUAAAAUGAGAAGUCAGAACAGUUUUAUUAAGAAGAAUCUGAAAGUAGUCUAUGUUUGUGGAUGGAAGAGGAAUGCUUGUUUUCCUCCAAGCAAGUCUUUCUUGAGGGAAAUUUUUGAAGAAUCUGAAAAUGGUCAAAAGGGAAAAAUAAAUGGAAACAACAAGAUGGGGUCAAUGCUGACUCUCCAAUUGUUUAUGAAUUUGACUGUGUUUCAGGAUGGAAGUGGAAUAAUUAUUUUCUACCAAGCAGGGAAAGUUUGAAGAAUCAGAAAGUAGUCUAUGGAAGAACAAGUCUAAAAAGGCAAAGAAAAUAAAAUAGUUCAAGUGCAAUCCGCUACAUAAAUGCGAAAGAAGAAUUGAAGAAUUGCAGAGAGAGCCUUAUAGAGUGUUAAUUUGAUUUGAAUUGUGUACAAUUGAGAAUUAUUUAUUUUCUUAUAAAUUUUGGUAGAAACAACUGUAGAAUAAUUGUAAACAAUAAAAAGAUAAAGAAUUUUUUGGGUUUGGGGAGGAAGAAGACUGCUGAGAUUUGCCAGGUCUCUUCCUCUCUCUGCUGUGAGUGUGGGGUUUUGGUGUGGUGUGUGUCCCCUUUCUCUCUUUCUGUCUCUCUCUCUUCCUCACCAAUUUCUCUUUCCUUUCUUUCUGUGCUAAACUAUUUUCUAUUUUACUUUUCCCUCUUGACUUUUUCUCUGUUUCCUCUCUUUCUUUUUGCUCACUGCUUUCUCUAUCAUUUAUCUCUUUUACUUUCUCUCUGCAAUUUUUCAUUUCUGCUUUUCUCUGCCUAUUUAUUUCUACUGGCCUUUUGUUUUAGUUAUCUUCUAUGCUUUCUAAUACUUUUUAUCUUUUCACUUUUCUUCUUACUACAAUUCUUUUCUGCUUUCUCAAAUUAAUUUCUUUUUGUAUUUUCUUGUUGCAAUUUUUAUUGACAAUGUUGUUAUGUUGGUAAAAUUCCUCUUAUUAUGUCCUUGAAGUUAAAACUUAAAAAAAAAAUUAAAAAAAAAAAACUACUAUAUUUUUUAGUUACUUUUUUUUUUUGCCCUUAAAAAAAAUUAUUUUUAUUUGAAUAAAUAAUAAAAAAACAAAAACAAAGAAAGAUGAGACUGAUUUUUUAUAUGGAAAAGGAAAAACACUUUUUGUUUCAAAAAUAAGAGAAUAAUCAACUAUACUUUUACUUCGUUCAAAAAAUAAUAAUAAUAAUAAUAAUAAUAAUAAUAUCAUACUUUUUUAUAGGAAUUAAAACUAUUUUCUGAUCUUUUUUUAAUAUUUUUAUUUUUAUUUCUAUUUAUUUUGUUUUCUUGGGAAUAAAGGUUCUAAAAAAAAAUGCAAUUGACUUUUUACAUGGAAAAGGCAUUUUCCAGAAAAUAGACAUUUUCUAAAAUAAUAUACAAAAAUAGACCUAAUUAUAUUUUGUUUUCACAAUUAAAAAUAGACUUAUUCUAAGAAAACCUAAGCAUAUGUAGUUUUCGCCUGUAAAAAAUAUUUAUCUCUUAGUUGAAAACAAGAAUGUUCAUAGUGUGUAUAUAUAUAUAUAUAUAUAUAUAUAUAUAUAUAGGUUUAAAAAGAUAGUAUAUUUUUAUUUAAUUCAAGUAAUUACAUUAUUUUAUUUUAUUAUUAUUAUAACAGAAAAAGUUUAAGUUUUACAAAAAUUCUCUCUUAAAAGUUUUCUCAAAAUUGUAAACUAUUUUUAGACAAGUAAAUUGGGACACUUUUAGACAUAAAUUAAUUGGAUAAACUUUUAAAUUUUUAUAAACUAAGAAUAUAAGGACAUAAAUUGGAAUUUCACAAAAUUGGAUUUGAUAGUUUAUGGAACAAACUAUUUUACCUUGUGACAAUGGUGUCAAAAGGAGAGCAACUAGAAUUUUACAAUUAGAGAUUAAAGAGAGAAAUUGGCAAGAGAAUGUAGUAGAGAGAGUGCAUAAAGAGAAGAGAGCAAAAAGAAAGUGGAGGGAGAGAAACUAAGCAAAGGAAAUAGAGAAAGAGACCAGAGGAAAGUGAGAAAUGAGAAGUUAAUGAGAGAAAGUAGAGAGUGAAUGUAUUAGAGAGGUGGGAGGGAGAGGGAAGUAGAAGAAAAUAGAAAGAAAUAGGGGGGAAGUUGGGAAAGUGAAGAGAGGAAGUGGAGAGAGAAUGUGGAUGGAAGAAUUUUUGGGGAAGUAGGUAAAAAAGAGAGAAGAGAAAAAAUUGGGGAAUAGAGAGAUGGAGUAUAGGGGGAGUUUUUAUUUUUAUUUUUAUUUUUAUUUUUUUUUCCCUCAUGUAAUAAAUAUGAUUUUGAAAAUAAAAUAGUUUUUCAUUUUAGUUCAAAUUUUACUUGGUUUUCAUUUCAUUUUCUACAAAAGUAUUCAAAAUGUUUAUAACUUUAUCUUGCUGCCUCAACUUAAUGAUACCUAAGCGCCAGCAGCCUAAAACAGAUGCUUACUUCACCAUUUUGUGCCAUGCAUUAUCUAAUUUUGGAUAAUUGACCCAACUUCUCCAUUUUCUUUAAAUGGUUCUUUUUGUAUCAUAAAUCGUUGUUCAUUACUUACAACUUACAAUCUUUCUCCAAACUAUUCGAGAAAUGCACUUACUUUCCCACAUACAAAACAAAAAAAAAAAAAAAAAACAAAAAAAAAAAAAGAGAAGAAGAAAUACAAAUUCAACAAAGUGCAAUCAACAAAGCUUGGCUAGUCAAGAAGAAGUAAUCCAGAAAGCAUUAAAAUUUAGCAGUUACAAGAAGUUACAUACUAGUUCUAUACAAUAAGUUACAGAACAAACUAGCUUUAUUUUUUAAACCCCAAGGUAAACUUAAAAGAUCCCCAUCAACUUGCAACAUGUUGCUUGCUGAACAUAAGAUCGAGCAACCCAAAAAUUAAUAUUCAAAUAUGUUGCUUUUACUUUCUACCUUCGAAGGACAUGAUAAUUUAGGAAUAUAUUGUUUUGGUCUGGUCAAUGGAAUAUUCUUAUACUUAAUGGGUGAUUAACCAAAACCAGCUUCUAAUCUUGAUCUAAACAGCGUAAUUUGUUUAAUUCUUUUGUGAGUAGUUAAACUAAAUCAAACUUGACUCCUAAUCCUAUCAUUCUUAAAC